rnacentral:rRNA from 1 species
UACGGAGGGUGCAAGCGUUAAUCGGAAUUACUGGGCGUAAAGCGCACGUAGGCUGUAGUGUAAGUCAGGGGUGAAAUCCCACGGCUCAACCGUGGAACUGCCUUUGAUACUGCACAACUUGAAUCCGGGAGAGGGUGGCGGAAUUCCAGGUGUAGGAGUGAAAUCCGUAGAUAUCUGGGGGAACAUCAGUGGCGAAGGCGGCCACCUGGACCGGUAUUGACGCUGAGGUGCGAAAGCGUGGGGAGCAAACAGG